UACAGAGGUCUCAAGCGUUGUUCGGAAUUAUUGGGCGUAAAGCGCGUGUAGGCGGCUUUGCAAGUCGGGUGUGAAAGCCCUCAGCUCAACUGAGGAAGUGCGCCCGAAACUGCAGAGCUUGAGUACCGGAGAGGAUGGCGGAAUUCCCCAAGUAGAGGUGAAAUUCGUAGAUAUGGGGAGGAACACCGGUGGCGAAGGCGGCCAUCUGGACGGAUACUGACGCUGAGACGCGAAAGCGUGGGGAGCAAACAGG
rnacentral:rRNA from 1 species